AUUAGUGGCGAACGGGUGAGUAACACGUGAGUAACCUGCCCUUAACUUCGGGAUAAGCCUGGGAAACCGGGUCUAAUACCGGAUACGACGGACCACCGCAUGGCGGUCCGUGGAAAGCUUGAUGCGGUUUUGGAUGGACUCGCGGCCUAUCAGCUAGUUGGUUGGGGUAAUGGCCCACCAAGGCGACGACGGGUAGCCGGCCUGAGAGGGUGACCGGCCACACUGGGACUGAGACACGGCCCAGACUCCUACGGGAGGCAGCAGUGGGGAAUAUUGCACAAUGGGCGAAAGCCUGAUGCAGCGACGCCGCGUGAGGGACGAAGGCCUUCGGGUUGUAAACCUCUUUCAGCAGGGAAGAAGCGAAAGUGACGGUACCUGCAGAAGAAGCGCCGGCUAACUACGUGCCAGCAGCCGCGGUAAUACGUAGGGCGCAAGCGUUAUCCGGAAUUAUUGGGCGUAAAGAGCUCGUAGGCG
rnacentral:rRNA from 1 species